GAUGAACGCUGGCGGCGUGCCUAAUACAUGCAAGUCGAGCGAACAGAUGAGGAGCUUGCUCCUCUGACGUUAGCGGCGGACGGGUGAGUAACACGUGGAUAACCUACCUAUAAGACUGGGAUAACUUCGGGAAACCGGAGCUAAUACCGGAUAAUAUAUUGAACCGCAUGGUUCAAUAGUGAAAGACGGUUUUGCUGUCACUUAUAGAUGGAUCCGCGCCGCAUUAGCUAGUUGGUAAGGUAACGGCUUACCAAGGCAACGAUGCGUAGCCGACCUGAGAGGGCGAGCCGGGAAAGUGGAAGAGCGAAAGGGUACAGGCUGCGAGGGGAGGCAGCAGUGGGGAAGCUGCCGCAAUGGGGGAAAAGCUGACGGAGUAGAGCAACGUGAGUGAUGAAGGAAAUCAGAUGGGAAAACUCGGUUAGCAGGUAAGAAGGUAUGUGUAAGUAACUGUGCACGUCUAGACGGUGCCGGAUCAGAAAGCAAAGGCUGACUACGGG
rnacentral:rRNA from 1 species